UACAGAGGGUGCAAGCGUUGUUCGGAAUUAUUGGGCGUAAAGGGUGCGUAGGCGGUGCGGUAAGUCUCUUGUGAAAUCUCCAGGCUCAACCUGGAGCCUGCAAGGGAAACUGCCGUGCUUGAGGACUGGAGAGGAGACUGGAAUUUACGGUGUAGCGGUGAAAUGCGUAGAUAUCGUAAGGAAGACCAGUGGCGAAGGCGGGUCUCUGGACAGUUACUGACGCUGAGGCACGAAGGUCAGGGGAGCAAACGGG
rnacentral:rRNA from 1 species